rnacentral:rRNA from 1 species
GCAGCCGCCGCGGUAAUACGUAGGUGGCGAGCGUUGUCCGGAAUUAUUGGGCGUAAAGGGAGCGCAGGCGGACAUAUAAGUCCAUCUUAAAAGUGCGGGGCUCAACCCCGUGAGGGGAUGGAAACUGUAUGCCUUGAGUGCAGGAGAGGAAAGCGGAAUUCCCAGUGUAGCGGUGAAAUGCGUAGAUAUUGGGAGGAACACCAGUGGCGAAGGCGGCUUUCUGGACUGCAACUGACGCUGAGGCGCGAAAGCGUGGGGAGCAAACAGGAUUAGAUACCCGCGUAGUCCCUGUCUCUUAUACC